UUUCUUUAGAAAAACUGAAAAGAUAUGGCAAAGCAGUCCUUGCUGACUACUGCAGCGGUACUUUACCUUGUCUUAUUAAAUGCGUUUGCAGAAGUGCUACUUGAUGAAAACAGUACUGAGUCCUCUGAUAAGCAUGAGCAAUACCUAAAAAAUCUAAAGUUGGCAUACACAGUGUUAGCUAUUGCCUGCGGAGUAUUCUUCAUCUCGGCAGUGCCCUACUUGUUUGGUUUCAGAAGGGAAGGCGUCGGAGCUGAUACUCAUGCUUCUGGGUGUCAGUCAGGAAUUGGGAACGUAGUUGCAGGGUCCCUGUUUGCGUUGUGUCAGUGCUUUGGUGCAGUGACCUGUUUUGGGAAUAUCUUUUCAGUCGUUCUGUUUGUGGCCACAGGAGUUUCGAGCUUAGUUGUUUUGAUAAUUUAUCAUAUAUCAAAAGCGUAAGUCGAUUCGGAAAUUAUUAUUUCUUUUGUGUGAUUUUAAUCAAUUAAAUGUAAAUACAUAUUAUAUAAUAUUCACUGACACAUAGAUUCUGAAGGAGAUGUCUAAGUUCUUAGUUGAGAUAAAUAAACGACGUUUCCCUAUAGAAAGACAGAAGGAACCACUGAACUGUUGAUUUUUGGUUACCAUUUCAUAAUCAUUCAUAUCGUAGCACAAUGCACAUCAUUCACAUCAUUCACAUCAUUCACAUCAUUUACAUCAUUUACAUCAUUCACAUCAUUCACAUCAUUUACAUCAUUCACAUCAUUCACAUGAUUCACAUCAUUCACAUCAUUCACAUCAUUCACAUCAUUCACAUCAUUCUCAUGAUCAUUCACAUGAUCAUUCACAUGAUCAUUCACAUCAUUCACAUCAUUCACAUCAUUCACAUCAUUCACAUCAUUCAUAUUAUCAUAUCAUGGUAAUUUUGUGAUUGGGUUAAAUUAUUAUAUUCUUACUUGUUUCUUUUUCGAUAAAGAUGUGACGAAGUUAAACUUUAAUGAUUUUUCAAUUUAAUUUUUCAAUGUAAUUUGAGAAUAUUUUUGCAUAUUAUUUAUUUUCCCAUUGAUGUAUAGUCAAGACGUGAGUGUUAGGGCUCUCAUUGACGAAUUUAUGUUUAAUCCUGUUUAAUCCUGUUUAAUCCUGUUUAUAUCAAAGGAUCAAAGGUAAGGUAUUACAUAUAAAUACUUACUUUUAUACUUUGAUGAGGUUUAGCCAAAAGGUUAUCGUACUUCGUGUAGACUGCGUGACUUCUCAUCUUAGGUCUAGAUAUCUUGGACUUUGUGGUGUUUCCACAGGGCGGAACACUAACAGUAUUCAAGCCGGCUUCCUACCGUCGACUUGAACAGUAGGAUUAUAAUGAUCUUUGGGGGCAUUAAGAGAUUAGGUUAGGCCGUUUAUAAGCCGUAUAGUGGCCAAACCUAAUUUCCCCAAUUUCCCGACUUAUCUUUAGAGGUUUCCAGGACGCAAUACGCCAUUUUCUUGGGGUCAUUGGCGGUUAUGUUGAUGCGAGUGAUCCAUUUAAAAUCAUAUGUGGGAAUUGGGAUUCACCCCCUACGAGGACUGGACGAAUUUUCUAACUCAAACUAAAUCAUCGAGAAAUAACACUGAUGUAAAAUGUGGGAAAUGUGUAUGGUCUACAGUCAACUUCCAGUUCCUUCCUGUUAUACAUUCAGUGUAUAGAUAUUUGACGGUGUGCUCGAUGGGAAUACUGGAAAACUUCUUUUAUAACAAAGUUUAUUUAACAUUUUUGUGAGAUCUUAAAAUUAAUUUCAGAUAAGUUGUCAUUAUCGCAUCAGAAUUUUAUAAC